CAUAAUCCGUCGUCUGCUAAAUUUUAAUGCGCAUGCGCUAGAAUCCGAGAGCAGCUCUUUGCCAGGGUGACCAACUGGCUUCCAAACUCAAAA